UUUUUUUUUUUUUUUUUUUUUUUUUUUGGUCUUUUUGGCUUUUCUAGGGCUGCUCCCACGGCAUAUGGAGGUUCUCAGGCUAGCAGUCCAAUCGGAGCUGUAGUUGCCAGCUUAUGCCAGAGCCACAGCAACGUGGGAUCAGAGCCGUGUCUGCAACCUAUACCACAGCUCACAGCAAUGCCGGAUCCUUAACCCACUGAGCAAGGCUAGGGAUUGAACCUGCAACCUCAUGGUUCCAAGUCAGAUUCGUUAACCACUGCACCACGAUGGGAACUCCAAACCAAAUUUUCUUACCAAAUUUAUGAUUAUUUUAAUUUUUUUUAACAUGUUUAUUGAAAUGUGCUUGAUUUAUAGUGUUGUAUUAGUUUCAGGUGUACAGCAAAGUGAUUCAGUUAUACGUGUGUGUGUGUAUCUAUACAUAUAUAUGUGUAUUUUUAUACUCUUUUUAAGAUUCUUUUCCAUUAUAGAUUAUUACAAGAUAUUGAACUGAAUUUUUGAUUAAUCUCUCUAUCCAAAACUUUCUUUUCUUUGUCCCUUCUGACCUCAGUCCUGUGCUAACUGAACACUAAUCAACCAGAAUCAGAUGGCUAAAACUGCUCUUGUAGAAAUCAUUAAUGUACAAACUCAGGCUGUUUCUCCAGGAUAGGAUGAGCUAAUAGACUCCAGAGGCAUGGACCCUGUGGCCUGAGAAUCAUAAGCCUGACUAUGAUUAAGAAAUCAUCCUGACUAUGAUUAAGAAAUGUCACAGAAAUAUCUUAAGAUGAUUAUUAAUCCCAGCCAAAAUCUUCGUUCUUCUGCUUUAAAAAACAAAACAGAACAAACUCCCAGCUCAAAGACCAAGUUGGAGUGGAUCUGAGAAUUGUCUUCCACUCCCUUGCUUGGGGCCCUGCGAUAAAUCUUGAGGUUGCUGCAAACAUCACCUGCCUGCUUUCUAUGCUGCAGGUACACUAGCCCUUGCUGGUCACCAAAAACUGUAAUUUAAUUUUUACUAUCUCCCUAGGUCAUGUCAUAUGUUUCAGAAGUUGUUAACAAGAGAAAAAAACUUCGAUUGUCCUAAUUAAUAAAAUAGAGAUAAGUGAGGUAAAAGCUUUUAGGUAGAUUCUUUAGAAUAAUUGUGUUUAAUUUCUCCAGAUUUGUGGUAACCUGAAACUUCAGAGUUUUGCUAAACCAAGUUAAAUGAUGGAAGUUUAUUAAAUAUCUAGGUCAUUUUCACAUAAGUAAGACAUUAAAAUAUUAAUUACUAAACAUUACAGAGAAAAUAAAAAUUUUAGGACUAUUAAUAAAUAGUCACAUUGUGCCAUUUUCUGUUAAAUGGUGUCACACUGAUACAUUUUCUCUAUCACACUGGUGUCACAGUGUCACACUGAUACAUUUGGUGUCACACUGAUACAUUUUCUGUAAAAAAGCAUGUUUUUAGAAACCAUAAAUAGUAUUUAUAAGUUUGCCAAUCUAUUGACUGCUAAUGUAAAAAAGUUCAUAAUGGCUUACUUCUUAGUUUUUAUUAGAAAUUAAGGUUUUUAAGAGUUGAGAAUUCUAAUUAAAAAAUGUAAUUAAAGCUAUUAGAAAUAAUGAGGGAAACAUUUCAACAUGCAGGGAAAUUAGGGUGCAUGGUUUCAGUAACCGAAAGUAUGAAGGGGAGUUUUCUUUGUGGCUCAGGAGUAACGAACCUGAGAUUAGUAUCCAUGAACACUCGGGUUCAUCCCCUGGCCCCGCUCAGUGGGUUAAAGACCCGGCAUUGCUGUGAGCUGUAGUGUAGGCUGAAGACAAGGCUUGGAUCUGGAGUUGCUGUGGCUGUGGUAUAGGCCUGCAGCUGCAGCUCCAAUUCAACCCCUACCCUGGGAACUUCCAUAUGCCAUGGGUAUGGCUGUAAAAAGAAAAAAAAGAAAAAAGUACGAAGACUGGAAAUGCAUUUUGUUAAGGGAAAAGAAAGUAAUUUUGUCUUAGAGCUGUUGUUUCUGGAUAGGAAAGAAAAUAAGGGACAAACUGAUAUGGAUACAGAAAGUUGUGGAAAAGGAACUCUGAGAAAAGAGUUUUAAACCUGGUCAAGAUUGGCUAAGAUUAGAUUGAAUUUAAUUAAGUAACUGAAUUAAAAGUAAGCUGAUUAUAAUCCAACCCUGGAUUUUGGUGUUUUCUCUGUGAAGAAAAUGAAGUCUUCUCAGAAUGUUGAGCAGUUUUUGAUAACAGAUUUUAAAUGUCUUUGUCUUUUAAGUUCUCUGUUCUGUAUUUGCCUUUGAAAUUUUUUUCAUUUUGGUUAAGUUAAUAUUGUUUCAUGGUUACCUAUGAUCCUAUUUGAACAAGUGUUUGAAACUUUUUGAUAUUUUUGACAAUCUUCCCCCAAAUCAAAUUUUAAUUAAACUUCACUUGACCUCUAGCUAACUUUGAGUUUUCGAAAGGACCUGUGAAGCGUUUCUUUUUUUUCUUUUUUUUGUCUUUUUGCCUUUUCAAGGGCCGCUCCCAUGGCAUAUGGAGGUUCUCAGGCUAGGGGUCUAAUUGCAGCUGUAGCCGCUGGCCUACACCAGAGCCACAGCAACGUGGGAUCUGAGCCACGUCUGCGACCUACACCACAGCUCACGGCAACACCGGAACCUUAACCCACUGAGCGAGGAGACCAGGGAUCAAACCCGCAACCUCAUGGUUCCUAGUCGGAUUCGUUAACCACUGCACCACGAUGGGAACUCCUGUGAAGCAUUUCUGAGAGAGACAUUAAACUAACUAGGACUGCUUAGUAUAGUUAUUAUAUUGCUUGCGAAGCAUUGUCAAGUGAUUGGAGAUAAACUUUCUUAGGUUACACUAAAUGUCAUUAGUAUAGGUAUUCUAGAGAGGAUAUGAAAUUUCUAAAAUCAGCUAUGUCCUGGUAUAAUGUUAUCAGUCAUAAUUCUAGUUAUUAUCUUAAAGUGUUGUAUAUUACAGCAGUAACUGAGUUUUUUCGUCAAUUGUAUUGUAAUCAGUUCUUUUUUUUUUUUUUUUUUUUGUCUUUUUGCCUUUUUCUAGGGCCACUUCCCAUGGCAAAUGGAGGUUCACAGGCUAGGGGUCUAAUUGGAGCUAUAGCUGCCGACCUAUGCCACAGCCCCAGCAACACCAGAUCCGAGCUGCAUCUGUGACUUACACCACGGCUCAUGGCAACACUGGAUCCUUAACCCACUGAGCAAGGCCAGGGAUUGAACCUGUGUCCUAAUGGAUACUAGUCAGGUUCAUUAACAGCUGAGCCACGACAGGAACUCCUAAUCAUGACUUUUGACGUCUUUUGUAUUUAUAGACAGUUAUUUUUGUACUCUGAUGCUUUGGAGGGAAAAAAGCUUCAUCUUCAAGAUUCAUUGAAAAAACAUUUUGACAAGUACAGGUUUCUGAUAACUCUCAGAUCAUGUCACUGAACUGGGUAAGAAAUUAAAGAAUUCAAAUGGAAAACCCAAUGACUUAAUAAAACUGGUAAAGGAAAGGACUAUUUACAUAAGACUGAAUGAACUAGUGAAUACUGUUACAAUUUUUAUGGCUUUUUCUGAAAUAUUACUAGCUUUUAAUCUGUAUUUUCCAGAUAGAGAAACCUUUCUCCUCAAGCUAAUUAUGACUUAUAGUAACUUGGUAAAAUCAUACAUAAGUAAAAUUAAAACAUUCAUCUUUUUCUCUCUUCCUGAUCCCUCCAGAAAUUAACUCUUAGGUUCCUAGGUAGAUAAGGAAGGUCACCUCCUGACAGGUACAAGAGUCUCAAAAUGUUUUGGGGAUCUCAAGAAGAGAGGAAUUCACCCAAAAUUAGAGCUGUCCCAGGCAAAUCAGUGACAAGCCCUUGGCCUAGUGUUCUUGGCCUUGAGAGUCCUUUUAAAAACUCAAUCUGAGACUCUUUAUGAAAAGGUCCAGGGCUGCCAAUUUUAUAAAGCCUAUAUGAUCAAUUACACCUAUGUAAACAAUCAGGCCAAGUUUAUUGCAACCAGAUGUAUUUCGCAAACAAAGUGGUCUUACUUUGGCUAUACUUUGUAAAAUGAGGGUAAUUUUAGAGAGAAAAAGGUUAUGUUUCCAUGGAUAUCAAAUUGUAGUUUUGUUCAUUGAGGUCUGUACUUACUACCUCAUACUUAUUUCUCAUGUUAUGUUAUGUUAUUGUACAGUUUAACUGAAUUAUUAAAAAGACACUCUAAGUUCACUUCUGAAGCUUAUCACAUGACCUGUCUUUGGAUAAAGCUCAGAUGCCCCAUGACCAGGGCCCAUGUAACCAGGCCUCAUCAAAAUUAAAAGUAACUGGAGUUCCUGUCAUGGCACAGUGGGAACGAACCUGACUAGGAACCAUGAGGUUGUGGGUUCGAUCCUUGGCUUUGCUCAGUGGGUUAAAGAUCCUGCAUUGCUGUGGCCGUGGUGUAGGCUGGCGGCUACAGCUCCAAUUCAACCCCUAGCCUGGGAACUCCCCUAUGCCGAGGGCACAGCCCUAAAAAGACCAAAAAAAAAAAAAAAUUUACUGUGUUACCCACACUAUUGCCCUCAGUGUUUACAACACUAAGAAAAUUUCUCCAGUGAAGUUUUUACAGAAUGUAACUACUCAUUGCAUGUAUCACUGCUUGCUUUUAAGUCUACUGCCUAAAGCUCGUGUACAGUGUUUAUGUGACAGUUGUAAUUGAUCAAAAGUAUAGCUGGUAAAAUGUUUCCCCACUGGCUUACCUCUGAGCUUGUUCUGAUUAGUUCCCCCCCUCCCCAACAUGAAUUACUAGGUAAAUAUAUAAACAACAACAAAAAAAGGAGGCCAGGAAGCUUGUCCCAGAUAUCAAUCCCGACUGGGACCGUAAGACAGCUAUCAGGAAAGAACAGCUGAAACAUUAUAGAAGUGUAAUAUUAAAAGUCUAAAGUUCACUGGUAAGAUGACUCUAACCCAGAGAAAGGUUAAGGAUGUGCAGUAGGGUCACCAGGAAAAUCCCUUGGGAUUUCUAGAAAGACAGAAGGAAAGUCUCCAGCAACAUACCAACUCCUGGACAUAGAUGCUCCAGGAGGCGUAGCAGUGUUGGACACCUCUUUUAUUUCUCAGAGUGCCUCAGACAUCAGGUGCAAAUUAUAAAACCUAGAAAUUAGUUCUGAGACCCCUCCAUCCCAGAUGGUUGAGGUAGCCCUCAUGGUGUUUAAUAACCAAGAUGUAGAAGAUGAGAAAAAGAAGUUCACAAAUGCAAAGACAGGCUAUCCUUCUGGCUGUGCUGAGUAAGGAUGGAAGAAUAGUCAUGAUACCAGUGAGUGACCCUGGCCCCUGACCUUGGACUGUCUGGCCCAGGAAACUAGGGACCAACCAAUGUGCCAUCUGUAAAAAGGAGGGGCACUUGAAGGGAAUGCCCAUUUUGUUCCCAGAGAGGGAGGGAAUUGACAGCCUCUUGCCACAACCCUAAGGAAACUGGUCCAGAUGGGUGAGGAUUGGACAGGACCAUGAGGCUCUUCACUUGGCUCCUAAAGAGUCCCAGCUGACACUUGACACAGAAGCUAAAUCAGCUGACUUUUUGCUUGAGAUAGGAAUGACAUAAUCAGUUUUAAACACCAAAGGGGGCAAACUCACUACCAAGAUGUAGUAUAGUAAAGAUAUCAGGAAGCCCAGAAGACAAGCAGUUCAUUGAAGCUUUAAGCUUCAGAUUGAGUGAAAAGCACCUGACUCAUUCUUUUCUACAAAUCCCUGAGGGCCCCAUCUGUUUAUAGUAGGAAAGGAUUUACUGCACAAAGUGUCUUUAUUUGCUUUCUCCCCCGCCCCUCCCCGGCCAUGCCUGAGGCACACGGAAGUUCCUAGGCCAGAGGUGGAACCUUUGCCACAGGAGCGCCCCAAGCCACAGCAGUAACGAUGCCAGAUCCUUAACCUGCUACACCAGAAGAGAACUCUUCUAUCUGCUUUAAAGAGGACCAAUUAAAGGUGAAUGUUCCCCUAGUUAUGGGUUAUAGGCUAAUUAUGCCCUCAGCAGAAGAGACUAAGUCAAGGGAUCUUAAAGAGGGCUUGGUGGAAUUACCAGGAAUAAGCCCUCAGGUUUGUGCCCACAAAGAGAUGGGGCAAACCAAGCAAGCAAACCCCAUAAUCAUCAGGUUAAAACCUGGGCACAGUUAGCCAAAUUUUAAACAAUACCCCCUCAGACAAGAAGCCUUAAAAUACAUAGUUCCUGGAGUUCCCUGGUGGCCUAACAGUUAAGGAUUCGGUGUUGUCACUGCUGUGGCUCAGGUCCCAUCCCUGGCCUGGAAACUUUUGCAUGCCAUGGGUGCGGCCAAAAAAAAAAAAAAAAAAAAAAAA
rnacentral:lncRNA from 1 species